rnacentral:lncRNA from 1 species
UCAAUUCCUGAUGAUCUGCAAGUCCUUGGAGGCUUCUUCGUGCUGUCCUGAGAUCGCUCAGAGUGUGUGCCCAGCAAAAGGACGGUCCGUUGACGUUUCCUUCAGUGAAAUAUCAGCUCAGUCCGUGCUGUGAAUACCACGGAAUCAACAGUGUUUGCCUUGAGUUGCUGAGAGUGUCGAUGGUCCAGGUGAGGAGCAGGGUUCAUCACCUUGGGUCAGCUGAAUCAGCUCCUUCAGUCGACUCUUCUGAUCACCCUGAUAUCCAUCAGGGGUUGCUGACAGCACCACGGGUGCAUCCCAGUUAAUCAGUAGAGACAGUUCCUCCACCACACUGUCCUCCUGCUUCUCCAUUUUAGCCAGUCUUUCUAGAUAUCUAGAUAUCCAGGAUAUCUAGAUUGACAGGCCCCGUCUGUCCUUUGUCUUACACUGCAGACUCCCAAGGCUUCACAGUGAUGAGGGCUACAAAGGAUUCUGUUAAGCUCUUUGGUGACUCCUCCACAGUUUCAUCUUCCAUCUCCCCUUUCUUUCUUAAUAAAAAAGGCACGAUUCAUUGCAUCCUGUAUCCUUUUUUGCGUACACUGCAACAAGCAUGGAACAGUAAUUAAAGCACAGAGAAAGGCAAUGUGACAAACUGACCCUAUUAGAUGCAAAUUCUGAAUGCAUUCAGCAAAACCCCCAAAGAGAUCCCCACAUACAUUCACAGGUUUCUUUUUUUAGCUUUCCAACCUCCCUUAGAACUUUCCCCUAUUACCACAGUAUAAACUUAGAGCAGCAAUUAUAUUAAUAACACCAUCACUCAGUCAAGGCCUCGAUUGGUAAGACAAAGAAAACACACGAAAAGAGUUACAGAGAAGGUCACGAUGCUUUCAGUCGAUGUAUACACACUCACACCGCAUCUCUUUCAGACAGUGCCACGAGUGGGAAAGGAACCUUCCUAAGCUGAUGGGUUAUGACUGAUUGCCCCCUGCGAGACGGCCAUCCGCCCAAAGGAGAGCAGAGAGGAGGAACUCGCCGGCGGUGGAUGCGACAGGCAGUGCCAGCAGGGCGUCCCCUGCUUCAAAGGGCACUUUGCCUCUCUCACCCACCGCAGCCCCUCUCCUGCUUUGGUUCUUCUCAGGGUCUGCGGGGUGUUUUCCACUGGUGCUCCACCUGGGCUCUGCACCACCCAAUGGCCAUGCGGAUGUGGAGCACCAGUGGAAAACACCCCGCAGACCCUGAGAAGGGUCUGCUUGCAAAACAGAACACACCACCGAGAUUGGACCCCUCUACAAAGCAAAACUCUCACAGACAGUAUGUUCAGCCCCAGUCACUGACUCCCGUGGUUUCUUGCUUGACCCCUAGCUCCAUUUCUUGUGUUUAGUUGCUAAGCUUUCUCUUGCUGGCCAGCAGCUCCUCCUUGUAUUGCUCCAGAAAUCACCUACAGGUGGUAAUUCUUGAUGCAGCACACAGGGAGAGGCACACGUAUCCACCAGAAUGCAACCCUCUGUACCCUGCACCCCCAGCUGCAACGUAACCAAUUCAAUCCUAUCCGUGGGGCUGCUGUGGUCAAACUUCCCAUGUUCUGUCAUUCAGCUUUGGCCAUCAGAGAUGGUUCCCUUCCCCCUCACUUUGGCACACCUCCACCACUGCCCCAUUUCCCUGCUGUGUGCGCACUGCAUUCGGUCCACUGGGGACAAAACUGUCCCCGGGCCCUUCCAGGUCCUGCUCUUGUGCAGCUGCUGUUGUUCUCCGCACUUUCUUCCUAUCCUUACCAUCCCUGUUUCUAUAUACUCUCCAGGUCCUCUCCAUUAAUGUAUCCACGUCCCUUACUUGGCUUCCACCAUUCUGUGUAUCGCUGGGAGAACAUAAAGACAAUCUUGCUCUGCUUAGCCAAAGACCUUGGGAGGUGUAAACAAGACCUGCAGACAUGGAGAGAGAAGGAAAGAUGUGGACAGGCAGAUUGUAACAGUCUGUGCCAGACAGACCCUCUGGACAUAAUCCCGAGACGUCCAGCCUGUACCCCUGGAUGGCUGUGAGCAGAUGCUAUGAAGGCCAUUGGAAAGCCCCACCGAACCUGAGGUGGCUGACGGGGAACCAGGGGUCCAGGUGUGACAAAGGAGCAGAAGGCAGAUUGCCAAAGGGGGGAAGACCACAUUGAUUGCAUAUGGAACCCAUACAAAGGAACCGCCUGUUUAUCCUUU